rfam:Cetobacterium ceti strain ATCC 700028 genome assembly, contig: EI52DRAFT_scaffold00017.17
AUUAAAUAUAGAUCCAGACCAAAGACCGUAGGUGGUUUUACCUUAAUACCCUACCGAGGUUGGAGAGAAGGUAUUCGCUAGCCUCAAAGAGUGUAAGUAAGCCUCCGAUCCUAUCUUUGGGUCGGAGGUUAUUUUUUAGAUGA